rnacentral:rRNA from 1 species
UACGAAGGGGGCUAGCGUUGCUCGGAAUGACUGGGCGUAAAGGGCGCGUAGGCGGCUUGCACCGUCAGAUGUGAAAUUCCUGGGCUUAACCUGGGGGCUGCAUUUGAUACGUGUGGGCUUGAGUGCGGAAGAGGGUCGUGGAAUUCCCAGUGUAGAGGUGAAAUUCGUAGAUAUUGUGAAGAACACCGGUGGCGAAGGCGGCGACCUGGUCCGUGACUGACGCUGAGGCGCGAAAGCGUGGGGAGCAAACAGG